ACUGAACGCUGGCGGGAGGCCUAACACAUGCAAGUCGAGCGGCCGAACGGAGCCAGCUGGUGGUUCCAGCGGGCGACGGGAGCGCCAUCACCAAAAAACUGACUCGAAAGCUCAGAUACCGCCCGGACAACGGGGGUACUACCGCAGUCCACCAGACGUCCAACGGGUGGGACCUUGGGACCUCACGCCUUCACAGGAGCCAAUGUCGCAUUAGCUAGUUGGUGGGGUAAAGGCCUACCAGGGCGACGAUCCGUAACUGGUCUGAGAGGAUGAUCAGUCACACUGGAACUGAGACACGGUCCAGACUCCUACGGGAGGCAGCAGUGGGGAAUAUUGGCCAAUGGGCGCAAGCCUGAUCCAGCCAUGCCGCGUGUGUGAAGAAGGGCUUCGGGUUGUAAAGCACUUUCAGUUGGGAAGAACGGCAGUAAGUUAAUACCUCGCUGUUCUGACGUUACCCACAGAAUAAGCACCGGCUAACUUCGUG
rnacentral:rRNA from 1 species